rnacentral:misc_RNA from 1 species
GAUGAAGAACGCAGCGAAAUGCGAUACGUAAUGUGAAUUGCAGAAUUCAGUGAAUCAUCGAGUCUUUGAACGCACAUUGCGCCCCCUGGUAUUCCGGGGGGCAUGCCUGUCCGAGCGUCAUUGCUGCCCUCAAGCACGGCUUGUGUGUUGGGCCUCCGUCCUCCUCCCGGGGGACGGGCCCGAAAGGCAGCGGCGGCACCGCGUCCGGUCCUCGAGCGUAUGGGGCUUCGUCACCCGCUCUUGUAGGCCCGGCCGGCGCUUACCGACACAUCAAUCUUUUUUCCAGGUUGACCUCGGAUCAGGUAGGGAUACCCGCUGAACUUAAGCAUAUCAAUAAGCGGAGGA